rnacentral:lncRNA from 1 species
UCAUUCAUCCUCAUCUUUGGUGGGUGUGAAUGGAAGAAAAAAAAAAGAUGGGGAAUAGCUAGGGUUUGUUUGUGGAAGUAAGGAAGUGCAUGUGAUGAUAUGCAUGGAAAGCUGAGUCGCAGUAAAGGAUGAAGCAAAAAUGAUGUUAGAAAGUAAUAAAAAAAGAGGGAACAGGUGCAAUAAUUUAUUAGUGGUGAAGCUAAGCAAACACUGUGUGUGUCUCUGCAAACUUUUUAUAAUAAACGAAAGGAGGGCAAUGCUUCUCUCCCUGUAGCCUUCCACCAUUCUGCACUCUGCAACUUUUUUUCAUCUCGUGUUCUGUGAACUCAAACGCAAAACGCCAUUUUCACCUUCUGCUUUUCUUCACACACACCGUCU